rnacentral:rRNA from 1 species
UACGAAGGGGGCUAGCGUUGUUCGGAAUCACUGGGCGUAAAGCGCACGCAGGCGGAUUGAUAAGUCGGGGGUGAAAUCCCGGGGCUCAACCUCGGAAUUGCCUUCGAUACUGUCUGUCUUGAGUCCGGGAGAGGUGAGUGGAAUUCCUAGUGUAGAGGUGAAAUUCGUAGAUAUUAGGAAGAACACCAGCGGCGAAGGCGGCUCACUGGCCCGGUACUGACGCUCAUGUGCGAAAGCGUGGGGAGCAAACAGG